CCUACGGGAGGCUGCAGUGGGGAAUAUUGGACAAUGGGGGGAACCCUGAUCCAGCCAUGCCGCGUGUGUGAAGAAGGCCCUCGGGUUGUAAAGCACUUUCAGUGAGGAAGAACGCCUGGUGGUUAAUACCCAUCAGGAAAGACAUCACUCACAGAAGAAGCACCGGCUAACUCCGUGCCAGCAGCCGCGGUAAUACGGAGGGUGCGAGCGUUAAUCGGAAUUACUGGGCGUAAAGCGCGCGUAGGUGGCUUGAUAAGCCGGUUGUGAAAGCCCCGGGCUCAACCUGGGAACGGCAUCCGGAACUGUCAAGCUUGAGUGCAGGAGAGGAAGGUAGAAUUCCCGGGGUAGCGGGGAAAUGCGUAGAGAUCGGGAGGAAUACCAGUGGCGAAGGCGGCCUUCUGGAAUGAAAAUGACACUGAGGUGCGAAAGCGUGGUUAGCAAACAGGAUUAGAUACCCGUGUAGUC
rnacentral:rRNA from 1 species